rnacentral:rRNA from 1 species
UACAGAGGGUGCGAGCGUUGUUCGGAAUUAUUGGGCGUAAAGGGCGCGUAGGCGGUGCGGUAAGUCACCUGUGAAAUCUCCUGGCUCAACUGGGAGCUUGCAGGCGAAACUGCCGUGCUGGAGUGUGGGAGAGGUGCGUGGAAUUCCCGGUGUAGCGGUGAAUGCGUAGAUAUCGGGAGGAACGCCGGUGGCGAAAGCGAUCGACUGGACCUUUUCUGACGCUGAGGCGCGAAAGCCAGGGGAGCAAACGGG